UGCAUACCAAGCUUUUAUUCCAUGUUGGACCUUUAUAAGAUUCUGGCAAAAAGGUGCCGCCGUUGCUAAUUGCUAUAGAGUGAAAAUCUUACUCGUGGUUUUUGGGUCAACGCAAUCUUAUGGGUAAACAUUAAGAAAGCACAAACAUAUAAUUUUGAUAUAAUCAGUUACGGAUUGGCCAAUUCGUAUGAGGUUUAUGGAUUUUCUAAUCCGUAUCAAUUUUACAUAAGAGCAAAACAGGAUAAUCGUGCAAUUGCUGGGUGUAGCAGCAAUUUUGCUGGGGCACUUAGCAACACCCAAAGAAGAGGUGCAUUUCAAUGUCAUUUCUUUGUGAUACAUAUCAUGUUGGUACCUCCCAACAGCCCAAAUACUCUACCAAUGAUGGAUGGACAUGGACUUUUUGUUUGGACCACAUUAUUUGUACGAGCAAUAUUAUAGGUAUUUACAUUCUUUUUUUUAUUUUAUUUGCACCUCCUAUAUUGUAUUUUAGAAAGUCCAUUCCAGAAUCUGAUUUGCAUCCUGGAAUGGACUUUUGGGAAUAAGCAAAUUCUAGCGUGGACAAGCUAUUAGGUCAUGCACUGAUGGAGAAUGUUAUUAAAUUUGGUUUGUAUUUUGUGUUAUAUGAUCCACGUGCAUAUGGCUUUUUUUAGUCGUUGGAUAUAUUAUAUUUCAAUAUGAACGGUGUAGAUUUUUUAUGGGUUUGUCGAACACCUUUUAAUGUGAUCUGAUAAUAUAAAAUCAUAAGGUGGAGCAUUUUACAUUUGUGUCCAUUGUGAAUAGACUUUGCUCUCCCUAUACCCUGUAGCUAUUGGGUUGGGUCAGUUGGCCCAUUUAGAACAGCCUACCAGAUUGGUAAUUUUGUUGUGCUGG
rnacentral:lncRNA from 1 species